AAUCUUCCACAAUGGGCGAAAGCCUGAUGGAGCAACGCCGCGUGAGUGAAGAAGGUCAUAGGAACGUCACACUCUGUUGUAAGGGAAGAACAAGUACAGAAGUAACUGGCUGUACCUUGACGGUACCUUAUUAGAAAGCCACGGCUAACUACGUGCCAGCAGCCGCGGUAAUACGUAGGUGGCAAGCGUUGUCCGGAAUUAUUGGGCGUAAAGCGCACGCAGGCGGUCCUUUAAGUCUGAUGUGAAAGCCCACGGCUCAACCGUGGUGGGUCAUUGGAAACUGGGGGACUUGAGUGCAGAAGAGGAAAGUGGAAUUCCAAGUGUAGCGGUGAAAUGCGUAGAGAUUUGGAGGAACACCAGUGGCGAAGGCGACUUUCUGGUCUGUAACUGACGCUGAGGCGCGAAAGCGUGGGGAGCAAACAGG
rnacentral:rRNA from 1 species